rnacentral:rRNA from 1 species
CGGAGGGUGCAAGCAUUGAUCGGAAUUACUGGGUGUAAAGGGCGCGUAGGCGGCAGAAAAAGUCGGAUGUGAAAUUCCGGGGCUCAACCCCGGAGCUGCAUUUGAAACUAUUCAGCUAGAGGUUGGUAAGGGAAACGGAAUUCCACGUGUAGCGGUGAAAUGCGUAGAUAUGUGGAAGAACACCGGUGGUGAAGACGGUUUUCUGUGCUAAACCUGACGCUGAGGCGCGAAAGCUAGGGGAGCAAACAGGAUUAGAUACCCUGGUAGUCCUAGCCGUAAACGAUGCAUACUAGAAGUAGGAGGGCUCAACCCUUUCUGUUUCGGAGCUAACGCGUUAAGUAUGCCACCUGGGGAGUACGCUCGCAAGGGUG